rnacentral:lncRNA from 1 species
UUUCUAGGUCUUUAGGGAUUUUACACUGCGUAUCUGGAAAAACAAGUCACCGUUUAAACACUAAGUCUACAGCUUGAAAGGUUUACAGUCAUUUUGCCUUCAGGCUGGCAUGUGUUGUCUGUGAAUGGCCUGGAAAGUAACAUUUUCUGUAGACGUCAGCUUCUCUCUGGUUUGAUGCCCCAUUCUUCUGCUGAUGCCACAUGCACUGCUGAUUAGUAUGGGGAAAUGGAAGAGGUCUCUUGAAAUAAGGUAGGUUUCUUUCUUUUCUACAAGGGCAUGGCUUGAUUAUCAUGUUCAUAAUUACUUUUCUAUUUAAAAUAAAUGAAGUCAAACA